AGCGAACGCUGGCGGCAGGCCUAACACAUGCAAGUCGAACGGAUCCUUCGGGAUUAGUGGCGGACGGGUGAGUAACACAUGGGAACGUGCCCUUUGGUUCGGAACAACUCAGGGAAACUUGAGCUAAUACCGGAUGUGCCCUUCGGGGGAAAGAUUUAUCGCCAUUGGAGCGGCCCGCGUCUGAUUAGCUCGUUGGUAAGGUAACGGCCCACCAAGGCGACGAUCAGUAGCUGGUCUGAGAGGAUGAUCAGCCACACUGGGACUGAGACACGGCCCAGACUCCUACGGGAUGCAGCAGUGGGGAAUCUUGCGCAAUGGGCGAAAGCCUGACGCAGCCAUGCCGCGUGAAUGAUGAAGGUCUUAGGAUAGUAAAAUUCUUUCAGCUGGGACGAUAAUGACGGUACCCGCAGAAGAAGCUCCGGCUAACUACGUG
rnacentral:rRNA from 1 species